CCGAAUGCAGGCCCGCAAACCUGUCUAAAAACGUCACGCUCGGCGCCCGCCCAGGUUUUUUUUCCUGGGUGGGGCGUGCGGGUUAGUUCACCCCGAGAAAGAAAAUCGUUAAUCGAAGUUGGGCGAGGGGCGCCUCGCCGAGUGCCCGUGUUAUAGCGGGCGCUCGAACCAAAGCGCACCCCACUUCAACCCCACUAAACUCUGAAUCUGAACUCAAAGGGGGGCGGCGCUCUCUGCAGCGCGGCUCCCCCAACCUUUAACGUU
rnacentral:misc_RNA from 1 species